UACACAUGCAGUCGAGCGGUAGGGCCUUCGGGUACACGAGCGGCGAACGGGUGAGUAACACGUGGGUGAUCUGCCCUGCACUCUGGGAUAAGCUUGGGAAACUGGGUCUAAUACCGGAUAUGACCAUGGGAUGCAUGUCUUGUGGUGGAAAGAUUUAUUGGUGCAGGAUGGGCCCGCGGCCUAUCAGCUUGUUGGUGGGGUAAUGGCCUACCAAGGCGACGACGGGUAGCCGGCCUGAGAGGGCGACCGGCCACACUGGGACUGAGACACGGCCCAGACUCCUACGGGAGGCAGCAGUGGGGAAUAUUGCACAAUGGGCGGAAGCCUGAUGCAGCGACGCCGCGUGAGGGAUGACGGCCUUCGGGUUGUAAACCUCUUUCAACAGGGACGAAGCGUGAGUGACGGUACCUGUAGAAGAAGCACCGGCCAACUACGUGCCAGCAGCCGCGGUAAUACGUAGGGUGCGAGCGUUGUCCGGAAUUACUGGGCGUAAAGGGCUCGUAGGCGGUUUGUCGCGUCGUCCGUGAAAACUUGGGGCUCAACCCCGAGCGUGCGGGCGAUACGGGCAGACUUGAGUACUGCAGGGAGACUGGAAUUCCUGGUGUAGCGGUGAAAUGCGCAGAUAUCAGGAGGAACACCGGUGGCGAAAGGCGGGUCUCUGGGCAGUAACUGACGCUGAUGAGCGAAAGCGUGGGUAGCGAACAGGAUUAGAUACCCUGGUAGUCCACGCCGUAAACGGKGGGCGCUAGGUGGUGGGUUUCCUUCCACGGGAUCCGKGCCGUAGCUACSCAUUAAGCGCCCCSGCCUGGGGAGUACGCCGCAAGGCUAAAACUCAAGGAAUUGACGGGG
rnacentral:rRNA from 1 species